rnacentral:rRNA from 1 species
UACGUAGGGGGCAAGCGUUGUCCGGAUUUAUUGGGCGUAAAGAGCGUGUAGGCGGCUGGGUAGGUCCGUUGUGAAAACUCGAGGCUCAACCUCGAGACGCCGAUGGAAACCCUCCAGCUAGAGUCCGGAAGAGGAGAGUGGAAUUCCUGGUGUAGCGGUGGAAUGCGCAGAUAUCAGGAAGAACACCCGUGGCGAAGGCGGCUCUCUGGAACGCAACUGACGCUGAGACGCGAAAGCGUGGGAGCAAACAGG